CCCCCAACCCGGAAGCGGCGGGGGGGGAGCCGGCGGGGAGUUUGAGCCCCGUCCUGUCACGGGCUGCCGCUCGCCGGUUUUGUCUGCUUUUGGCAGUAAAUUUCUGGUGAUGUGAAGGAAUCGUGGAGCUGUCUUAAAAUGCUCUUAGGUGUCGGCCGGGGAGGCAAAAAGUCUUGUGACGAUUGAUAGAGAUGAGGGGGGCACCGUGUCAAAUGUGUGCUGGACUCUGUGCUGGUGCAUUUCGGCCCCGCAGUGUAUUUCCACAUGAAGCUGCUUCCCCCUGAACUGUUCAUCUUUUGCUACACAGGUGACCUUGCCCCAGCUCUUCUUGCCACAUCUGCUCCUGCCCCAUUGCCAUACUGCCAGUUAAGGAGGGAACAUGGCCUGCAUCGAACUAUCAAGUUAAAAACAAAGUUAAAGACAAGAAGUUUGGAAGCAGAACAUCAAAGAGCAAUGGAGAAUGCACCCUUGAGAUUCUAAAACUGAUAAUGAAAAUGUGGUAUCAGUGUAUGCCCAAGGUGUGCUACAAUAUAUCAAAUGUAUCUUGAAGCACGAUUUGUAUAUUCUAUGUAUCACCCUUUUGCUUCAUUCUGGAAAGAGGAAAACAUUAUCCUGUAAAGUAUCAUCUAUGAAGGCAAGAGGGCUGUGUAAUGCAUUAGGAAACUGAAAUGUUAAUAAAUAUAUAUUUAUACACAAGCA